rnacentral:rRNA from 1 species
GAUGGGGAGAGGAACUUGUUCCUCGAGUCGUUGAUUUCACACUGCCGAGAAAAGCCUCUAGCUAGAAUAACGGUGCCCGUACCGCAAACCGACACAGGUAGUCAAGAUGAGAAUUCUAAGGUGAGCGAGCGAACUCUCGUUAAGGAACUCGGCAAAAUGACCCCGUAACUUCGGGAGAAGGGGUGCUCUUUGAGGUUCACGCUUCGAAGAGCCGCAGUGAAUAGGCCCAAGCGACUGUUUAUCAAAAACACAGGUCUCUGCUAAACCGUAAGGUGACGUAUAGGGGCUGACGCCUGCCCGGUGCUGGAAGGUUAAGAGGAGUGGUUAGCGCAAGCGAAGCUACGAAUCGAAGCCCCAGUAAACGGCGGCCGUAACUAUAACGGUCCUAAGGUAGCGAAAUUCCUUGUCGGGUAAGUUCCGACCCGCACGAAAGGCGUAACGAUUUGGGCACUGUCUCAACGAGAGACUCGGUGAAAUCAUAGUACCGGUGAAGAUGCCGGUUACCCGCGACAGGACGGAAAGACCCCGUGGAGCUUUACUGUAGCCUGAUAUUGAAAUUCGGUACAGUUUGUACAGGAUAGGUAGGAGCCUUAGAAGCGUGAGCGCUAGCUUACGUGGAGGCAUUGGUGGGAUACUACCCUAAUUGUAUUGGAUUUCUAACCCGCAGCACUUAUCGUGCUGGGAGACAGUGUCAGGCGGGCAGUUUGACUGGGGCGGUCGCCUCCUAAAGAGUAACGGAGGCGCUCAAAGGUUCCCUCAGAAUGGUUGGAAAUCAUUCAUAGAGUGUAAAGGCAUAAGGGAGCUUGACUGCGAGACCUACAAGUCGAGCAGGGUCGAAAGACGGACUUAGUGAUCCGGUGGUUCCGCAUGGAAGGGCCAUCGCUCAACGGAUAAAAGCUACCCCGGGGAUAACAGGCUUAUCUCCCCCAAGAGUUCACAUCGACGGGGAGGUUUGGCACCUCGAUGUCGGCUCAUCGCAUCCUGGGGCUGUAGUCGGUCCCAAGGGUUGGGCUGUUCGCCCAUUAAAGCGGUACGCGAGCUGGGUUCAGAACGUCGUGAGACAGUUCGGUCCCUAUCCGUCGUGGGCGUAGGAAAUUUGAGAGGAGCUGUCCUUAGUACGAGAGGACCGGGAUGGACAUACCUCUGGUGUACCAGUUGUCGUGCCAACGGCAUAGCUGGGUAGCUAUGUAUGGACGGGAUAAGUGCUGAAAGCAUCUAAGCAUGAAGCCCCCCUCGAGAUGAGAUUUCCCAACUUC